rnacentral:tRNA from 1 species
AGUUAAUGAACUUGUAAAGUAUUUACUUUGAAAGUAAAAAAAAGAGAUUUAAAUUCUCUAUUAACUU